AGGAAAGGCAGGGGAUCGCAAGACCUUGCGCUUUUGGAGCGGCCGAUGUCUGAUUAGCUAGUUGGUGAGGUAAAGGCUUACCAAGGCUUCGAUCAGUAGCUGGUCUGAGAGGACGACCAGCCACACUGGGACUGAGACACGGCCCAGACUCCUACGGGAGGCAGCAGUGGGGAAUUUUGGACAAUGGGGGCAACCCUGAUCCAGCCAUGCCGCGUGAGUGAAGAAGGCCUUCGGGUUGUAAAGCUCUUUCAGCCGGAACGAAAAGGUUACGGUUAAUACCCGUGACUAAUGACGGUACCGGAAGAAGAAGCACCGGCUAACUACGUGCCAGCAGCCGCGGUAAUACGUAGGGUGCGAGCGUUAAUCGGAAUUACUGGGCGUAAAGCGUGCGCAGGCGGUUUUGUAAGUCAAGAUGUGAAAUNCCCCGGGCUUAACCUGGGAACUGCGUUUGAAACUACAAGGCU
rnacentral:rRNA from 1 species